GUUAGAUUGUUGGAGAAGGGCCUUCUUUACCUCUUGUCUCAGUUAUAUUCCAUAUAUAAAUUACUUGUCAGAGAUCCCCAUUCUAUAAUUGUAAAGCACGGUGUAAUAUGUUGGCUCUAUACAAAUAAUAAUAAUACAGAGAACUUGCAGUCAGCCACAAAAUACAGAUUAAGGAAGAGCUCAUCCCCCUCUUGGCUGCCUGCCUGUAUGUCAAGAUAUA